rnacentral:rRNA from 1 species
CGGAACACGUACGCAACCUCCCCAGAACAGGUGAAUAGUCUUGCGAAAGUAAGAUUAAUACACCGUACCAUAUAGUUGUGGCAUCACGAUUAUAUUAUAGGUAGCAAUACCGGUUCUGGAUGGGCGUGCGCCUGAUUAGGUAGUUGGCGGGGUAACGGCCCACCAAGCCUUCGAUCAGUAACUGGUGUGAGAGCACGACCAGUCACACGGGCACUGAGACACGGGCCCG